AUUUUGGUCUACAUGAAGGAACCAAGGAAAUUAAAAUAAAUAGAAUUCAACCAGUAAAUAUCUUAAAAUAGUAUUGAUUUUUUUUUGCAGUCAAAAUCUGUACUGUGGAACACUCUCACCAUUGGAAAUCAAUGGCAAAAUUUUAAUUGACUUCAACAAGGUGUUAUAUAGUAAGUGGAAGAAGAAACACAAUACUCUACGCAAUGUUAAUUACUUCGAAGAAGUGUGAGAAGCAGAUCUCUGAACACACAGGAACAACAGCAACAACAAGGAAGCGUAAUGAGACUGGAAAAGAAAACAGCAUUCAGUUGCUUACUUCUUCGAUAGAAGAUCUGCCGUCUUGGCUAUUUUGAGGGGUAACUUCUUGCUUUGAAAUGUGAAAUGAAAGGUAUUUAGGUGCCCAUCUUUGCCACCAGUGAACUUUUCAGAAGCUUUGAACGUCAAAGCUCUCUAUCUGAACAGAUUUCACUUUGUGCUUUCUAUUUUCAGAGUUGGGGAUCUUAAUUUCCUAGAAGUACUUGAAUUUGUUCCUCACAAGUUUGCUGGAUUAUGUAACCUGAAUUUAUUUUGUCAACAACAUCCUAAGAGGGAAAUUCACUUCGAGAGCCUCACUUUUCAAGCAAACAUUAUUUUGGCUGUCUGCUGGUCACUGUCUCCCAGUAACUACCAAGGAAAGACUGAGUCACUAAGAGAACAUGUUUUGUUUAAAGUUGAAUUUAUGCAGUGUUUCCCAUAUGGAAUGAGAACCUGAUCCUGCAUCAUGAAGCUCAGAUUUCAUUUUGACCUUCGCAAGGGCUGUUCGGAUCUUCAACACUUGGAGCCAGAUCUGCUCAUCUCCUUGGAAAUACUCUAGAUGCAAUUCGUUAUUUGAUGUGUUAUUAUUUGGGGACAAGAAGCAUACCACAGAAGACAUGACCUUCUGGAGGGUGGAGUUAAAUCAACAAAGGCACUUGGUGACUGCUCACAUCAUUUUUUCUGGAUUCCAUCCCCACAGGACAAUAAGAAAAGUCAUAUCUACAUCCUGAAUUCCUCCAUCUAUUCAAAUAUUCAGUGUAAACUUUGUAAAUCUGGUGUGAACAACAGGUUGUCUGUGAAGAAGAGAAUACAAAAUUCAAUGAACAAUUUCAAAAGCCAAGGUAGAGGUAUUCAAAAGCAGAUUUCCACUCAGAGGCAUUUUUUCUUCUUAGGUAAGCUGUAUCAAAAGUUUUAGGACUGUUUUGGAUCUAAAGUGACAUGCAAAGAUAAGUCAUCACAAUAGUUCCAGUGAGUGUUCAGCUAAUUCCUAAAAGAAUGCAAAUCUACUGUGUUAACGUAGGAGUUUUCUAUCAAAUUCUUGACGUGGAAAUUUAAGCUGUUCCUUUAGAAAUGAAGCAAAUUCUUUGCUUUGUUAGUGUGGAGCCAGAUAUCGAGACAUCUCUGUGUACAAAGUCUAAACAGUUCAUCAGGAAGAGGUAACAUGGUGGCAAAUCACGCUUUUUGUCAAGCAGCUUGGAAUGAGAACUCUCCAGCAGUGAAUACUCAAGUACAAAACAGUGAGAGCAGGAUGAAUGUUCUCUUUGGUGCCAAUAAUAAUAUAUAGAGGAAAACAAACACAAAACUUUAAAACCUUACAGAUGUAAAAAUAUAUGUACUUCGCCAUCAUACCCAAUUGCCAAAGAAAAAGAAAUAUCCCCAUACACACCCAAAUGCAUAAGCUUGCAAAGAGAACAAAGACUGCUAUAAAUAUUCCAAGAAGCCAAUAAAAAAAACUAGGAGUGGUUAGUUCUCAAGUGUAAUGGUCUGCCAUAAAAGCUUUUAUUGUUAAGGGAGUUACUUUACUAAGAGCUGUAUGAAGAAAACUGAAUGAAUGUGAAAAAUUGCAUGCAAUAACCUGAACUGAAAGAUGAUUAUCAACCUCUGAGUUCUGUGCUUUUGAGUGUUUGCUGCUGUUAGAAGAUUGCCGUUGUGGUUAAAGAAAAGCUUGUUUUGUACUACUAUCCCUCCUCCAGGUGUACAGAGAGUCAGUGUGUUCUUCUCCUGUGCCUUUGUCUGUCCAUAUUAAGUGUCAUUUUUAAAAUUGAAGGGCCUGAUCCUGCAGUUCUGCUUUCAGGAGGCAUUACUCCUGUGCAGUGGAACAUUUCCACUGAAGCACUUUGCAGGGGACCUGAUCCCACAUGGUAGAAGGAGAAGUACUGGGACUCACUCUGACAGGAGAGUGGCAGCCCGAGGCCAGGGUUUGUUACCAGCCUGACCUACAGCUGCAGAGCUCACUCCUGAGUGACUCAAAUGUCUGCUGAAUUCACUGCUUCUCAGGAGUAAAAGCUGAAUUUCUUACUGAGACAAUUUUUGCCUAGCAAGUUAUUUACAAAUACACCAAACGCAUACUGACAAAACAUACAAAACUUGAAAGCUGCUUCUCUAACAGCUGCGAUAGAAGGAAGGAAGUAGAAGACAUGGUUAUUUCUAUACCUCACCAUAAGGGAGGUGCUCUGAGUGCUCUGCUAAUUAGGACCUUAUCAGUAGCUAAAUGAAUAGGCAGGUAUCAUACGCAUUCCAUGUCACUUCAAAGGCUGCUCCAAACUCUGAACAUUUACAACAUCAGGCUUUUAGAUAUUACCACUUUACAGAAUAUCUUUCUGCCUUUGAUUCUCCGGCUACUUUUUUUCUUUCCAGUGCUUAACAAACACAAUGAGGCCAGAUGAUGGUUGCAAAUCAGAAACCCAUUAGAUACAUCUACUCACAGUUUCCCUACAGAAAAUGCUAAGCUACUGUGUUUGGUGACCCUCUCUCACGCUUUCAUGUGCAUUCGUGUUGUGUUAGCAUUCUCCCUGACAUUCUCGGGGAUCAAGUCAAAGAGAAGAAAGCACUAUCAUCAAUUUUAUCACAUCCCUUUCUCUUACAGUUCCAAGGAAUAAAGGUAUUUGGAAGGAAAAAAAAUGAAAGAAAGAUACAGCUCAGUUUUGUGCAAAACCUUCACAGUGAAAAUGGAAAGCAUAGGAUUUGUACCUGCUUUAAUAAACAAAAAACAGAGUGCCCCUAGAUCUGCUGAUGUGUGCCAAUUCUUUCUACAAAUCUCCAAGAAGCAGAACACUGUAUUAAUGCAAUUUUAAGUAAUAUUUAUAUUAAUGAAUUUAUUGUAGCCUAAUAAAAAUACCCACUCCCAGGCUCUGAAGUAAUAACUCAUUUUGGACAUCGGUAAGCCAUAUAUAAAUCUUAGCUAGUUCUCCCAGGCCAGUGAUAUUCUGAAUACAAGCAAGUUUUUUCCUGCACUGGCCAUUAGAUCCAUCCCCACAAAGGCUGGUAAAUCAACAUUGCCCAUGGUGCAUCAAAGCACAAGAAAACAAGCUGUGCCACAGCAGGAGUUUAUUCAGUGACACAAGGCUCUGCUGAAGAGCAUCUAGACAGAAAUCAUCUAUCCCCAAGCAGGAAAUAUCUCCAAGACUGCAUAAAAGCCCCCUAGAUAGAGAGAGAAGUAUCUUGGGUAGGAUGCUUUCAGAUUGCUUGAUUCCCUAUAUACAGUUUCUGCCAAG
ensembl:lncRNA